rnacentral:rRNA from 1 species
GAUGAACGCUGGCGGCGUGCCUAAUACAUGCAAGUCGAGCGAAUGGAUUAAGAGCUUGCUCUUAUGAAGUUAGCGGCGGACGGGUGAGUAACACGUGGGUAACCUGCCCAUAAGACUGGGAUAACUCCGGGAAACCGGGGCUAAUACCGGAUAACAUUUUGAACCGCAUGGUUCGAAAUUGAAAGGCGGCUUCGGCUGUCACUUAUGGAUGGACCCGCGUCGCAUUAGCUAGUUGGUGAGGUAACGGCUAACCAAGGCAACGAUGCGUAGCCGACCUGGGAGGGGGAUCGGCCACACUGGGACUGGAACACGGCCCAGACUCCUACGGGAGGCAGCAGUAGGGAAUCUUCCGCAAUGGACGAAAGUCUGACGGAGCAACGCCGCGUGAGUGAUGAAGGCUUUCGGGUCGUAAAACUCUGUUGUUAGGGAUGAACAAGUGCUAGUUGAAUAAGCUGGCACCUUGACGGUACCUAACCAGAGAGCCACGGCUAACUACGUGCCAGCCGCCGCCGUAA